ensembl:lncRNA
AUACAUGGCAUACUCUGGCAUUGCUCUCAGAGCAGGUGGAUUCAAACACCUUUCAUAUUCACACCAAACUAUAAACUGCUUGUGCCUAUCACCAGGAUGAGGGGGAAAUAGUCAUGCAAAAGACUGAUUCACUGAGGCUUACCUGUUAAAUGCUCACAGAACAAGCCCACUGUGGUAUUUUGCAUCAUAAAACUUAUGAAGAAGUAAAUGCAUCCACACAAUAAUGAGCCAUUAUGGCUCAUUAGAGGUUCAGCUUGCAAAGUCCAAAGUGUACAAACAGAGGCAUUUAGGACAAAUCUGAACUGAGCACUGUACCCUGCCCUCUACCUGAACCAGCCCUUUACACAUAUCUGGUAAAUGAUUUAUAAACCUUAAGAUAACAAAGUAUAAAACCUCUUUUUCUUCUUCUAUCGCUCUCUUCACUUUACAAAGGAAACCCUUUCUGAAUAACUUGCCAUGUCUCUGAAAAUGUAUCAAAUUUUGGUGUCUGUUCUGCUGUUUACAGCUUCUGUUUCAAGUGUUCUUGGAGCGCCCUUUCUGACAGAAGAAUCAGCAAAUCAAUUCAUACGGCUCAAACGACACAUCCCGUAUUCUCCGAGCUACUGGGACUCAAGCAGCAGCCAGAACACGUGGGGAUACAAACGUGUGGCUGAACAGGUUAGUGAAUCAUGGGCAGCUCUGAGAGAAACAGCACAAUACUACAUGGACUUGGACCCUUUUGCCUUCGAUCCCUCGACAGCCGUGUUCGAUGGGCUUUCUGAACAGAGCAUUUCAUAGACUCGGAGCCUGUGUGUACCAAACAACAACAUCAGAUCCUACAUGGAGCUACUACAGCGGUCUGGGACUCACCUCCAGCAACAAGCUAUUAAAUCCUACACAUCUUGUAUCUGGCCAUGUUAGGAUAUGGCAUGUUAUGUAUUUGCCAUUAUGUAUUGAUAAGAUGACUUUAUCUCAUCCCACUUGGGUCUAAACCCAAAAUUAAUACAGUAAUUCUCUGCAUAAAUACUGCAUAUUUUAUAUUCAUAAGUAGAACUGAGACAUUGGUCAUGGCAAAUUGAAUAAGAAGUUGAAGAAAACCAACUGUGAAAUUUUAGCAGGUUUGGUUUAAAAAUGCCUAGUGUUUCCAGGUAAAACAUUCCUUUGACUAAACGAUUGAAGAUGUACAUUUCUGCUUCUGUGACUGAAAACCACAUUUUUACUGCUCAGGAUUUUCCUUUAGCUACAUUUUUGAGAGGCAAAUAAGAAAUGAAAAUCAGUCACUUUGGAUGAGUGAGAGAAGUAGAGCACAUUUGCUUCAGGUAUACUUCUGUGGUUCAAUGCAUUUCCAUUUAUUCAAGUACUAGUAGUGUUGUAGUACACAUCCAUUCAUGUCAACGCUUCUCUUUCCUCAUUUAAUCUUCUGUACUUGGUCUUGAGUGCCAAAACCCACUGAACUCACAGCUACUACUAUGAGAUGUUUUUUCUAACUCCACAGCUAUUGGAAAUGGUGGAAACAUUCACGGCUCCUUUUCUAAAAAGCAAAUGGUGGUGACAAAUGUUCUUUAUGCCAUGUUCUUGAGCUUGGAAGUUUUCUGUUCAUUAAAACAGUUCAUUAAUGUACUUUAUUUCAGAACAUCUUUGAAGAGAGGAUUAGGCUUCUGUGUUUCUUUUGUAUGUUAUUAAUAUAAUGUUAACAAUUAAAAGCUUUUUCAAACUUGGCCAAAUUUUUUGCAUGAAUAAAGACCUAUUGAGGAAAACA